AAGUCGUAACAAGGUUUCCGUAGGUGAACCUGCGGAAGGAUCAUUAACAAAUCUUUAAACAAACCUUUGUGAAUAAGGGGGAGGAUAUAUACAUAUACAUAUAUAUAUAUAUAUAUCCUUUUCCUAGAAACAUAUAUACCAAAAAAAGUCUAUAAAUAAUUUAUAAAAAUAAUUUAAAUACAACUUUUAACAAUGGAUCUCUUGGCUCUU
rnacentral:misc_RNA from 1 species